AGGCGACGCUGUCGCAGGCUUACACAUGCAAGUCGAACGGAAAGGCCCUUCGGGGUGCUCGAGUGGCGAACGGGUGAGUAACACGUGGGUGAUCUGCCCUGCACUUUGGGAUAAGCCUGGGAAACUGGGUCUAAUACCGGAUAGGACCAUGGCCUUCAUGGGUUGUGGUGGAAAGCUUUUGCGGUGUGGGAUGGGCCCGCGGCCUAUCAGCUUGUUGGUGGGGUAAUGGCCUACCAAGGCGACGACGGGUAGCCGGCCUGAGAGGGUGACCGGCCACACUGGGACUGAGAUACGGCCCAGACUCCUACGGGAGGCAGCAGUGGGGAAUAUUGCACAAUGGGCGCAAGCCUGAUGCAGCGACGCCGCGUGGGGGAUGACGGCCUUCGGGUUGUAAACCUCUUUCAGCACAGACGAAGCGUGAGUGACGGUAUGUGCAGAAGAAGCACCGGCCAACUACGUGCCAGCAGCCGCGGUAAUACGUAGGGUGCGAGCGUUGUCCGGAAUUACUGGGCGUAAAGAGCUCGUAGGUGGUUUGUCGCGUUGUUCGUGAAAACUCACAGCUUAACUGUGGGCGUGCGGGCGAU
rnacentral:rRNA from 1 species